AUGGCGCUGCAAACAACGGCUGCAGCUGUGGAUUGAACCCGGAAACGGUUCUCUCUCCACAGUCUUCUUCGUCGGUGCUGCUGUGGUGAGAUCCGGCCCCUCGGAGCAGCAGCGCCACUCAGUGUUGCAGGCGCACACGGAGCUGCUGAAGAGAGUCCUCGACAUCAGAGAGCAGCUCGAUGUUGAGCUGCUGGCUACAGUCGAUUCUGCCACAUGGGGGCGCUGACGCUCAUUCAGAGCUUCUGACUGAUGAGCUGUAAUGAUCAUGUGACUCUAGCGCCACCGUGUGGUUCACCUGCGUGGUGGUGUGAGGUCUCAGCAGGGGGGGGUCGUCAGCUGUUGGUCCGAAGCUGCAGCUGCUGGACGUUGAUCUGGAGAUCCGA